rnacentral:rRNA from 1 species
CCUACGAGCGUCAGCAGUGAGGAAUAUUGGUCAAUGGGCGCGAGCCUGAACCAGCCAAGUAGCGUGAAGGAUGACUGCCCUACGGGUUGUAAACUUCUUUUAUAAAGGAAUAAAGUGAGGCACGUGUGCCUUUAUGUAUGUACUUUAUGAAUAAGGAUCGGCUAACUCCGUGCCAGCAGCCGCGGUAAUACGGAGGAUCCGAGCGUUAUCCGGAUUUAUUGGGUUGAAAGGGAGCGCUGAUGGGUUGUUCAGUCAGGUGUGCAAGUUUGAGGAUCAACCGUAAACUUGAAAUUGAUACUGGCAGUCUUGAGUACAGUUGAGGUAGGCGGAAUGCGUGGUGUAGCGGUGAAAUGCUGAGAUAUCACGAAGAACUCCGAUUGCGAAGGCAGCGUACUAAACUGCCACUGACAUUGAUGCUCGAAAGUGUGGGUAUCAAACAGGAUGAGAUACCCCUGUAGUC